rnacentral:lncRNA from 1 species
UUUACUGGUCUCCUUGGGACCGGAGAAGCAGAAUGUUACUUUGUAGAAUCAUUGUUCAGCCUCUUUGUUUAUAUAUGCGGAGUUCUUAUUCAUUUGAUUUUAUCCUCCUGGUAGGCUCUUGUAGCUUAAACUAUGAACAUUUCUGUCACAUACCGUCUCUUUAAAUCUGAAUCUUGAUUGCUUCUAUUUCACAUGUGAGUAUACUGUACAUAAAGAAAAUCCUAGCUAGUUUGAGAACAUUUUAGUCGCAUAAACACAUACUAAUUAAUUUAGUCAUACUAUUUAUGUACAUUUCAUUUGCUGACAAUUCUUGCUUCUAAGUUAUUGGAUCCGUCAUUGACCAUUGUUUGAUGUUCUCGACACAUUCUUAUUCUUAUAUGUUCAUUCUUAUUUUUUGCACAGGUGAAGUGUGAAUCCAAGUCUGAAGCUGUGAAGCAUAUCAGCAAAGAGUAGCAUAUUAUGUAUUGUAAUUGUAGGCAGUAGUAGGCUUAUUUGGGUUGUAGUAUAAUGUAACGAUUGUAAUAGACUAAUGUAGUGUUGUUUUAGACGAAUUCCAUUUGCUCUUUGGAUUCUUCAAAAUAAUGAUUUUGUAUGUGACUUGAAUACCCCGGAAAUGGUAACCUGGCAAAGGGGUUC